GGCCAGACUCCUACGGGAGGCAGCAGUGGGGAAUAUUGCACAAUGGGGGGAACCCUGAUGCAGCGACGCCGCGUGGGUGAAGGAGCACCUCGGUGCGUAAAGCCCUAUCGGCAGGGAAGAAAAGCGAACAGGUUCGCCUGGACGGUACCUGACUAAGAAGCCCCGGCUAACUACGUGCCAGCAGCCGCGGGAAUACGUAGGGGGCAAGCGUUAUCCGGAUUCACUGGGUGUAAAGGGAGCGUAGACGGCGCUGCAAGUCCGGAGUGAAAGUCCAUGGCUUAACCAUGGUACUGCUCUGGAAACUGUGGAGCUUGAGUGCGGGAGGGGCAGGCGGAAUUCCUAGUGUAGCGGUGAAAUGCGUAGAUAUUAGGAGGAACACCGGCGGCGAAGGCGGCCUGCUGGACCGUAACUGACGUUGAGGCUCGAAAGCGUGGGGAGCAAACAGGAUUAGAUACCCUAGUAAC
rnacentral:rRNA from 1 species